rnacentral:rRNA from 1 species
CCUCUUUAUCGUUUGAGCAAUGGAGGGACGCAGAAGGAUAGAAGAAGCGUGCGAUUGGUUGUGCACGUCCAAGCAGUUAGGCUGAUAAGUAGGCAAAUCCGCUUAUCGUGAAGGCUGAGCUGUGAUGGGGAAGCUCCUUAUGGAGCGAAGUCUUUGAUUCCCCGCUGCCAAGAAAAGCUUCUAGCGAGAUAAAAGGUGCCUGUACCGCAAACCGACACAGGUAGGCGAGGAGAGAAUCCUAAGGUGUGCGAGAGAACUCUGGUUAAGGAACUCGGCAAAAUGACCCCGUAACUUCGGGAGAAGGGGUGCUUUCUUAACGGAAAGCCGCAGUGAAUAGGCCCAAGCGACUGUUUAGCAAAAACACAGCUCUCUGCGAAGCCGUAAGGCGAAGUAUAGGGGGUGACACCUGCCCGGUGCUGGAAGGUUAAGGAGAGGGGUUAGCGUAAGCGAAGCUCUGAACUGAAGCCCCAGUAAACGGCGGCCGUAACUAUAACGGUCCUAAGGUAGCGAAAUUCCUUGUCGGGUAAGUUCCGACCCGCACGAAAGGUGUAACGAUUUGGGCACUGUCUCAACCAGAGACUC